GGGGCCUUAGCUUAGUGGUAGAGCACAUGAUUUACAUGCAGGAAGUCCCAGGUUAAAGUCCUGCCAUCCUUA